AUGCUCAUUUCAGCAGCACAUAUAAUAAAAUUGUAAUGACACAGAGAAUAGCAUGGCCCCUGUGCAAGGAUGACAUGCAAAUUUGGGAAGCAUUUCAUAUGUUG
rnacentral:snRNA from 1 species